rnacentral:rRNA from 1 species
CAGAGGGUGCGAGCGUUAAUCGGAGUUACUGGGCGUAAAGGGCGCGUAGGCGGUGAGAUGAGUGUGAUGUGAAAGCCCUGGGCUUAACCUGGGAAGUGCAUCGCAAACGAUCUGACUGGAGUAUAUGAGAGGUGGCGGAAUUUCCGGUGUAGCGGUGAAAUGCGUAGAGAUCGGAAGGAACGUCGAUGGCGAAGGCAGCCACCUGGCAUAAUACUGACGCUGAGGCGCGAAAGCGUGGGGAGCGAACAGGAUUAGAUACCCUGGUAGUCCACGCUGUAAACGAUGAGGACUAGAUGUUGGUAGGGGAACCUAUCAGUAUCGAAGCUAACGCGAUAAGUCCUCCGCCUGGGAAGUACGGCCGCAAGGUUG